UACGUAGGGGGCUAGCGUUGUCCGGAAUCAUUGGGCGUAAAGCGCGUGUAGGCGGUCCGGUAAGUCCGCUGUGAAAGUCGAGGGCUCAACCCUCGAAUGCCGGUGGAUACUGUCGGGCUUGAGUACGGGAGAGGCGAGUGGAAUUCCUGGUGUAGCGGUGGAAUGCGCAGAUAUCAGGAGGAACACCAAUAGCGAAGGCAGCUCGCUGGGACGUUACUGACGCUGAGGCGCGAAAGCGUGGGGAGCGAACAGG
rnacentral:rRNA from 1 species